CAGUAGCCGCGGUAAUACGAAGGGGGCUAGCGUUGCUCGGAAUGACUGGGCGUAAAGGGCGCGUAGGCGGCGGCCAAAGUCAGGCGUGAAAUUCCCGGGCUCAACCUGGGGGCUGCGUUUGAUACUUGGUUGCUUGAGUGGGGAAGAGGGUCGUGGAAUUCCCAGUGUAGAGGUGAAAUUCGUAGAUAUUGGGAAGAACACCGGUGGCGAAGGCGGCGACCUGGUCCUUUACUGACGCUGAGGCGCGAAAGCGUGGGGAGCAAACAGGAUUAGAGACCCCAGUAGUCCCUGUCUCUUAUAA
rnacentral:rRNA from 1 species